UACGAAGGGGGGCUAGCGUUGCUCGGAUUGACUGGGCGUAAAGGGCGCGUAGGCGGUUCGUACAGUCAGACGUGAAAUUCCUGGGCUCAACCUGGGGGCUGCGUUUGAUACGUGCGGACUUGAGUGCGGAAGAGGGUCGUGGAAUUCCCAGUGUAGAGGUGAAAUUCGUAGAUAUUCGCAAGAACACCAGUGGCGAAGGCGGCUCACUGGUCCGAUACUGACGCUGAGGCACGAAAGCGUGGGGAGCAAACAGG
rnacentral:rRNA from 1 species